ACAGUGCCUCAAGUUAUACUAAUGUUGUCAUGGUGAUUCUAUGAAGGCUCUUUUCAUCUUGUGGCUGUAGAUUUACCCACAGGCACUGCUGAGGCAUCCUGAGACCAUUGUUCCAGGAGCUACAGGCCUUGGGGGACAUGCACUUAAGGUAUUUGUACACUGGCAGGAUUGUCAGUCACCCCACAGUGGGCUCUCCCACCAGGGAAUUUAACUCCAGAGUGGAUACACUCAGGGCCUUAGCAAAAGGGAGUAGGAACGGAAUAGAAUACAAGGGUAGGCAGAUGUAGAUAGAGAAGAAAGAGAAAAGGAUCAAAUCCAAACGGAAAUUCUGAAGAAGCUGAAGGAGAACCUAAAAAGUCUACUAAAGGUGUUAUUUCCUUCAAGAGUUAGGGUCUCCACCCAUUCUACAAUGAGUGAUUUUGAGUGAAGGACACGUGACAACACAUUUCCCUGGCCAGAACACUGGUUCUCUGUGACUUUGUGGCCUCCUUUGGUGUCAUCGUCUAUUAGAAAAAGCAUGUGGCUACUGUAUGGGCAGGAAAGUCAAGUGCUGCAUCCCUGUCUGGUGGGCCACUGAAGGGUUGAAGUGGAUCCCUGCAUGUGGCAUAUGGAAGUACCAUAGGAGGCUCCGGGGUCUUCUAGUGCCGGGGCUGUGCGAGGAGCUAAGGACGUCUACUCGUUUUCUGGAAUGUUCCUCAUGGAAGUUCUUCUACCAUCACUAGCAUCAAGAGAAGUCCAGGACAUUUGAUUUUCUUCUUCCAGCAACUGUGACUUUCCACUUAAUAUUGGGUUAGAACUCACAUUAGGAAUAUUUUGGAAUUAUAGGACAUUUUAAUGGUCAUUAAGUAUAAAUUCUAACAGAAAAAUGACAAACUACUUACUCCAAAAUAAAGUGAGGACAGUGUUUAUUUUCUACCAGCAUAACCCGAAGGAGUACAAACCCCGUAUGAUAUUCUGAGAAACCUCGUCCCCUCACGCACCCCUGUACCCGUUCAUCGUAGCGUUCAAAGCUGCUGUUCACGUUGACAGCAGUGGAACUUGAACGGUUCCCAAAUCUCAUAGUCUUGCAAGCUGAAUCCAAAUGCUUAAAUGCAGAUGACCCUCGGCCACAGGACCCAGGCGACGGGGGCAGGAAGGGCUUUUAUUUCGUAGACUCCUAUAAACAAGCUGCUUAUAAAAAGGUGGAAAAGAGUUGUGGUCCUGUCAGUGCUUUCGACAAAAGACCUGCGGCAGUUGGGAGAAUCAAGUGAAGCCAAAUUUAAUGUUCCCAUUAAAGUGUUUGAAAUUUUUAUUCAUGUAAGAAAAAUGCCUUUGCUUAAAGAUAGUUCGAGGCAAUAAACAACAAUAUGGAGAAAACUUUGAAUUUAAAGCAGGUUUUAAAGAGACUACUUUCCACAGGCAAGUUUUCCAGCAUCUUCGAAGAACCCCCAAGAGCUCAAUUUAAAAUUUACAAAAGUGUACUGGGUUUCAAGUUCCUGAAUUCAGCCAGUGGGGAAAGAUGAUCUUGAGGGAGGAGAUGUAAGCAUGGAAUAAUAGCCAUCCUGUGGCGUGACUGAAAUCUCUCCAGCGACACAGGCACUCAGUCUUGUCUAAAGACCCUAGACGCAAUGCAGACAUCUGGGAGAGUAUGAGGGGCAGCCUGGAAAGUGUGGGUGGGAAGAGGCAAUGAAGAACCUAGGGGAAAGCAGAAACCAGACAGACACGGAGGCGCAGCGGUACCUGGGACUCUAAGACACAGCCCCUGGAAUGUAGACUGUGCAGAGAAGCCCAUGAGUAGAACUAGAAUGAUGGAGUCAAGGCAGGAGAGAAGGCAACAAAAGGAAAAAAAAAAUACUUUGUACUGAUGUAAUAGUGAAGGCUCUCAACUAAAGGAUGACCCUUUCCAAUAUCCUGGGACACACGAGGAGCUGUCCAGCAAGACCAUAUGCGCUAGGGACUCUCAACAAGUCAAUGGUAUAAAUGUAAGACAUAUUUUUGGCAAUUCAACUUUACAAAAGUAAGACAUUUGUGCUAUGCUUUAGGUUACUUCUCAAGAACUAGUUGGAGAAGAGAUCAGCCCUGCCAGGAGAACCCAAUGGUGAUUCCACCUAGUUGGAACAACAACAACAACAACAACAAACCUAAGCAUUAUUCAUUACCUUCGAAUGCAAGUGGUGACCCUAGGAGAUACUGUGCCCUGAUUGCAGAAAGGAAAGAAACAACAGUCUUCAAAAGUAAUUGAAAAGUUGGGAGUUUUGGAACCGAAAUGCCAAUUUAAAUCAUGACAAGGGAAGAUGUGGUUAGCAACUGUCAGUAGCAUUUUAUUUAGAGGACAAGAUUGCAACUAAUAUAGGCAAUAGUGAGAAAAAAAAAAGCUCAAGAAGUCAUCUGAAUGUGAUUGAUAACCAAGAAGUAUUUCAGUGAUGGAGAGUAAAUGGCAUUGUCUGCAAUAAAAAGCGAAUCAGAUAUAAUCUUGGUGAUUAGGAACACUAUCUUUGAGUAAAUUAUCCCAAAUCAUGACUUACAGAGCCCAAGUAGAUAAUUCUCUAUUUCUGAUGAGUUUACGAGAAAUUGCAUGGCUGUUUGGGGACAUCUUUGGUAGUAGGUUGCAAUAGUGUUAGGAAAUAGUGAACAGCUCAGAGACACAAAGGACAUUCAUAAUGAUAUAUUUAAAGGAAGAGAAGUAAAAUGUUAAAAACCACUACCUCCACUACUGAUGAAAUUCAUUUCUGAGAAGCUGCUCACAAACUCUUAGCUGCUGAUUCCAAAGCCCCUUUUCGGUCCACAUUCUGCCCAGCUUGAGAAGUGUUGGGAAUUACUGCCUAUCAAGUGCAGGCAUCUGCCAAUGUUCUACCACUGAUGUCUCCUCAUUCUCCUUGGUGAUUGAUGUUCUGUGAAAACCUUUUCUUUCAACUUUAUGUCUCCAUAACUCUCCAGAGAGCUGCACUUGUAGUUCUGACCGCCAUGCUAAGAUUUGAUCACAUCUUCAAUCGCUCAUUAACAUGUACUCGUUGAGGGCCUAAGACUCCAGAGAAAGUACUCAGCACAGAGAUGCUGCAUCUGGAGUAUAGCAAGGAGUUGGUAAAGCAAGGAGGUGUGGGAGGGACAGACAUCUGAAGACCUGGAGGCCCCAGACUGGCAUGCUGCACGUGGAGAGGUAUGCCUAGAGCACGGGGUGGGGGUGGGAGGGUGCACAGGUCGAGGUAGGUAGGCAUGAACUCAGAAAGGGCCCUGGUUGCCAUUGUAAGGAACUGGGGUUUUGUUAUGAAGCUUACCAGGAGUUAUUGAGGGAUUCUAAUGACAGCUAUGAUGUGUUCAGUUUUGCCUUUUAGAAGCAUCGCUUUGGUGGCAGAGAGGAGAAUGGCUUGAAAAGGGUCAUAUUGGAAGCCAGAGGACCAGUUAGACAGCCACGACAGGCCCCCGGUGAGAGGUGUGGGAAGCCUAAGAUAAGGUGCUAGCAGUGUGGGUCCAAGGGCGUAUUCAGGAGAGUGAACUGGAAGAGACCUAUAAUCAGUCAGAUGUGGGAGGUGGAGCGUCUGGAGUGACCAUCAGGAUUCUGACUGGGGAAUUUGAGAAGAUCGUUGACACUUCUCAUCAAAAGAAGGAAAAUGUAAAGGAGGUGGACUCUGAGGAAAAGAUGAGAACCAGAGACCGCUCUCCAUCUCUUCCGUUCUCUCUCUGGUGUGACAUCUCAGAAGGGAUUGUAUAACAAAUAGUAGAAAUUCAGUAUAUGAAAGAUCACCGUUGGAACAUAAUUCUUACCUUUGAGCCUAUAUAAACAUAAGUUUCCUCUGUCUUCUCUCUCAUGUAUGCACAGGUGUGUGAGGAUACACACACAUGCACACACGCUCUUGCUUAGGAAGAAGAAUCAGAUUCAGUUAUACUUUCAAUGACAUGCCCUUGAGAAAAGUCGUUUUUUUCAUGGAUUUUCCAUACACCAUCUGGGAUGCCCACACACUUCCUCGAGUGUGGAGAUGCUCUAUGUGGCAUUGGCACUUUUUUAGGGUGAAUAAUUUUGUAGGUCUGCUGUUUACAUCAGUGGUUUUGCUGUCCUAGUCUCAAAGAACUUUGGGUACAGAAUGUCUUUUCAAGUUCCUGUUCUUAAAAGGCUUGACAUCAGUCCUUCCUGGAAGGGGAGCCUUCAAAACAGGGAGUUCAGCUGAAAUUAUUUUAGCUGGCUAAGUUUUUUUUUUUUUUUUGUAUUUUGGUAAACUUCCAUGAACACAUUUGGAUUCCCACAAACUCAUACAUUUAUGUCUUCACAGUUCUAUAUUUUAACAAGGUCUACAAUGACUUACUAUCCUCUUCAUUGAGUUAUUUUUAUUGUCAGUCACUUCUUAGACAUGUCAUGGUUCCAGACAUGUCACACUCCUGAUGGCUAGCCCUGCCCCAGUUUGUAGGUACCUCUUACUUGCCUCAUGUGCUGUGGCUUCCACAACUGGGUGGUGGCGCAGGGUGCGGCUGGCCAACUGAGGCCAGACUGGACCCCGUUACAUCCUGGCCAUGGAGCUCUGAUGUAAGUUUGUGUGUUGACUCAUCUUGAGCACAAAGAUGACUAGAACUGCAGAGUCUUUGCAUAGAUAUGGCUUUUUAGUCAAAUCUUCUGCAUCCAGAUGAAUUUUGAUUCCAGGAACUCAACUUUACACUUGUCUGUAGACUUGGUGUAUGGAUCUAGCCUGUGGUUUAUAAAGACAGCGUAAUGUAAAAUAUGAGGCACGAUAAUAAAUACAACUAAGCUUAUAACUUACUAGAUUAAAUUAUACCCAAUAUUUAGCAUAUUAUGUAUUAAACAUUAUGCAUUAAAUUGAAUAUAUUAGAUACUUAUAAUAAAUAUAAAAUAAUAAUAGUAAGAGUCAAGACUAAAGUAAGACACAUUCCACUACACAUAUGCGUGUGUGUGUGUGUGUGUGUGUGUGUGUGUGUGUGUGUGAUAUGCAUUUGUGUGCAUGUGCAUAUAUUUGGCAGUAGGCCAGGGUUUGGUGAGAAGGGGGACUGAGACAUUUUGCUCUGGGUAAGGAGAGUGGAAAAGCUACUGAGCUACUGAUCUGAGCUACUGACCUUGCUGGGCCAUGUGGUGCUGCUUAGAGCUCAACCUUGUGGCCCUGGGUAACUAUGAGCAGUGAGGGAGGUGGAGAAUGGAAGGGGCAGGGGGGAAGGAGGAACUUGGAAAGGGUCAGUGAGGGGUAGGAGAGCCCAAAGCAAAGACAAAGGUUUUGCAGAAGAUGCAGCGUCUGGUUCAGACUCAACCCCAGAUUCACCCUGGGACGUCCCACAAGUCACUUAACUGCUGACUGCCAUGUCCCUCCCUGGUAGAAUUGGGACACUAGAGCGUGGCUGCAAGACUGAGAGAUGCCCUGUGCAGAGUGCCAAACACUCAGCAGGUUCCCACUGCAAUAUGGCAGCCAAGAGCCAAGAGAGCCAGUACUCUGGAGCUCUGGAGCUCUUGGAGUGGUGGGUGUGAGGACCACCUACCAGCUGCAUGACUUUGGGAAGCAGUUAACCUCUGUACACCUCAUUUCCUCAUCUGUAGAAUGGAGUGACCAGAGUGCUUCCAUUGCUGUGUUUUGAGGAGGCUAAAACAGUGAGACAGUGCCUGAAGAGUGCCUUGUCAAAUGCCACGUACAACCUCAACGUGGGAAAAAUGUUAGCUAUUGCUAAUAAGUGAUGGCGAUCCGAGAUUUUCUCAUGUCCAAUAAUAUUGUUUCUGACCUUUCCCAGGGCCACAGGAUGUUUUUAACAUGUAGAAAGUUCUUCAACUGUUUGUUUUCAGUUUUCUUUUUUGGUCCACUUGAACACAGACAUGCCUGUAGAUGUUUAACUUGCAACUUGCACCCAACACAUCAGUCCAAAAAGGCAACUUACAGCGCAAAGACUCAAUCAUUCCACUGGCUACAUCCCUAAAAAUCUUUUCGCAGAAAACCCUGCAAAUAAAUCCAAGUGUAUCGCAAGUCAGAAAAUUGAGUUAUGUCGGUAGCCUGUGCCACCUUCAGUUGUAUUCUGAAGGGGAAGGGGCUUUGUGAGGUGGACCCAGAGUUCUCCCGGAGACGCUCAUUCGCUGGACCCAUCUGCGCAGAGGCCCCUUGUGUCUCCCAUGGAGAUGAAAUGCUGUCGAGAGCCAUAAUUCCCGCCAGCACGAAAUAGCGGCCAGUGCCAGCUGUAGACCUGAGGGAACCCUCAUUGCUCACUCUAGUUAUGUGGCUCUACACCAGGGCCACAUUGGGGAGGUAUUUUCACAUGGCAUACGAUCCUGCUGCUGCGGUCUCAGAGGCUUGAGACUGCUGUGUGUUCAGCUUUUGUGAUUUCCUCUUGUUGCAAUAGGUUAAUUCUGAAGCUCAGCCAUGGGUGUUUGGGAACAGGCUUCACAUUUUGUGUGUCCGUAUCUUCGCCAGGCUACCAAAGUGCUCUCGAGCUAUGCAAUGUCAGAAGCCUGAUUGUAUUGGAGGUAGCAGGCUGGGGGACUGGGAUGGGUUGUUGAAUCACAGUGGGAGAGGGAUCUGGUUCAAGGCCUGAGACUUCAUUGUUCACUCAUCCAAUACUUGUGCCUUGUCUGUUACACACUGGGUGACAAACUCUAUGAGGGAUACGAUGAUAAAUACGACCUUCUUCCUUCCCUCAAGGUGCUUCCAUUCUGGUGAGCCAGAGGGACAGAUAAUUCAAAAGUGAUGGUGGAGUUAAGUUCAGGUGCUGUGGGUCCUUUGCCAGCCUAACGGGGACUGCGUCCUCAGAGGAGAUUUGGGGCUGAGGUUAGUUGGGUGUGAGAGCCGCUGGGGAGAGGAGAGUGGGGAGGGAGCCCUGACAGAGCAAAUAGUGUGUUUGCCAGCCUGGGGCGGCGGGCAGGGGUGGGGAGUGGGGAGGAAGAGAGCAUCCUGAAUCAGGCUGAAUUGUUAGCAUUCAGUGUGUUUGUCUGAGCAUAGAUUUCACAUGGUGGGGGUUGGUGAGGUACAGGCCUGGAGAGAGAGGAAGGAUCUUAUCGCGGCUUUUGAAAGUGAGACAAGAGUGUUAUUUUGUAGGGUGAUGUGGAUACGUUGAAGGGUUUUAAUCAGGGAUAAAAUAAUCAGACAUUUGCAAGGCCCCCUUCCAGAAUUCACUCAAGAGACCAAAUUACAGAUCUGAAGAUUGCUUGAUGAGUAGAAAAUUAGAGCAAAGGAGAAGAUGAUGUGAAGAAACGUCCCCAACCAAGGAGGCUGGCUGGAGGGUUUGUGUCUCUGUUGUCAGUCGUGGGAUGUUCUGUCCAAAGAACUGAUGCAGUCAGGCAAAACCCUUCCAGCUGUUGACAGCAGCCUCCUUUCUGGAUAAUUCCUGCCUCCAGGGCCUGUGCCAUUAUUGCAUCACUGUGCUCUGUUCCCAAGAUUAGUGCUUAUCUCACACCCAUCUCUUGUUAGAUUGGCAUUUUCCCAAUGAGCUGUCAGGCUCCAGUCAUUAGCAAUAUACCCAGAUUUUGGUUUUUUUCCAGUGGGUUAUCAUAAGAAUGAUGGCAAGCUCAUGUUGUCUCACUUUGGGGACAGACGCUGUUUGUGGCCAGCAGCUCCUAGUGCACCAGAGAUUAGCCCCUGUAGAUUAGCAAUACGAACAAAAACAUAAUAAACGGAUGCACGCAUGAAUGAAUGAAUGAAUGAAUGAACGAAUGAAUGAGACCUGAUUGGAUGAGAAGCGGCAUGGUGGGGGUGAAACACUGGAAAAGUAAAGUAGAGGCAUUUAGGUUUGAUUUCUCCUCUUCCAUUUGCUGUGUGACUUUGGGUGGAUGAUGAGAUUUACUGGGGCUUUAGUUUUCUUGUGUAAAAUAUAGUUAACGGGGCAGUCCUCAUACAGCUGCUGAUAAGACUGGAUGAGUUAACGUCUUGGAAAAUACUUUGUAAAGUGUUACUUUAUCAUUUAAAAAUAAAGCCUGUAUUAAAGUGCUCACAUUUUUACAAAAAAAAAAAAAAUUACCAGCCCUUUUUUAUUUUAAUCCUCAAAAGAAUCCUUUUUUAUUCAUAAGAAAACUAAGAGGAAGGUGAGCUGCCCUGCUCAUGGCCCAGGAGCUGUGCAAAUACACACAGAAGGUCUCCUAGGUCUGUGCUGUCACUGCUACACCCUUCAGCUUCUUAAUGCAAACCAAAGGCUCAUUUAAGUGGCUUCCACCACUAAAUCAAGAACUCUGUGUACUUUUCUCCCUUGGAAUUGGAAGUGCAGACACUUAAUUAUAACUUUUGAUUGCUUGAAAUUAUAGGGCUAUAGAGUUACUGGCACAUGUUUCUGAGGAAAAUCAUACUCCAAACCCCGCGAUAAUCAUCUCUGGUUUUUCGUAUUCAAGAUGGACGCAGGGAAUUUGGCACCAUUAGUCAUAAACUCGCAGUGUUUCCUGGGAUGACUUGAAGCCAACUCUUACAGACAUAGGCAGGGGUUGUAUGUACGUAUGUCCACGAUUGACUGAAAGCUCCAUGAAGGUACACCUGUGAUGUCCUGUUCAUCGCUGUCUUCCACAACCUAGCACAAAAAAUCAAUCCUUGAUGGAUGAAUGAAUGAAUGAAUGAAUGAGCUACAUUCCGCUUUGCUAUAUCCCUUCUAUUGAGAAUGUGCUUGCCUAGAGAUUACCCUUUUAUUUUAUGAUAGACAUGCUACACUGUAUUAAUUUGCUAGUGUUACCAUAACAAAGUUCCACAAACCAGUGGCUCAGACAACUGAAAUUUAUUGUCUCAGUUCUGGAGGUGACAAGUCCAAGAUUAAGGUGUCAGUAGGGAUGAUUCCUUCUAAAGCUGUGAAGAAGAACACGUUCCAUGCCUCUCUCCUAACUUUCUUUCUGGUGGUUUACUGGCAUUCCUUUCUGUUAGAAGCAUCACUCAUAUCUUCUCUGUCUUCAUCUUCAUGGGAGAUUUCUCCCUCUAUGUGUGUCUAUGUCCAGAUUCCCAUUCUUUUUUCCUCUUUUUUUUCAGAGUCCCCUACUUAUCAGGACAUCAGUUGUAUUGGAGUAGAACCUACCCUGAUGAUUUCCUUUUAACUUGAUUACAUCUGCAAAGAUCCUAUAGCCAAAUAAGGUCACAUGAUGAGGUACUGGGGGUUAAGAUCCAAUAUACCUUUUUCCAGUGGGGGAGCAAUUCAACCUAUAACAAGCAUCAUGUUUUCUUGUUAUUUUUAUUUUGUUUUCUAUAAUUUUGUGAGUCCUGGCAAUGGAUAUUAAGUAUGUCAUUGGUAAAUCGCCCCCCCCCCCAAAAUUGACAAGAUAGGGAAAGACUAAAGAAGAUUGAUAAAAGGUUCAAUAACAUUAUCCUCAUCUCUAUUCAUAGGGUAAACAAAACAGACCUAACUUGGGAUAUGGGGUGGGGUCUUACCACAGUCUGUGACAGCUUUCUGCUGAUGUGGCCUGUUCCUUGGGCUUCUGUUAUUCAAAUCAGCCUGUAAUACUGAUCCCAGUCCAGAUGACCACCUGGGCUUCACCCCAGUUAGUUACCAGUAGGCAUAUCUAGAAGAUCCAUCUCUCUUUUUUCUCCCCCGCCCCGCCCCUUUGGUAGAGAUGGUUCUAGAAAGAAUGCAGAGCCCCAUGCUAUUUCUAUUUUGAAAUAGAAAAUAAGAUCUUUCGCUAUACCUGCUAGGUUUUUCUCUCUCAUUAGAGUGAAACAGAUCACUGCCUUGUGGAACAAGUGUUCUCUCAUAAAUGGCAGACAGAAGUUCAAUGGUAUCAGAUCAAUACCAAUUUCAUAUUUAGGCCUGGGGAUUAUUCCCUGGCAAGGCAGAUGGGGCAGGGCAUUCUGUCUGCUGCUAGAGUUGUUAGCACAUGUCUUACACGGGAGGCCAGAGGGCCGAAUGCCUCCCUAGACAGCAUCUUUAGGGUGCCGGGCUGAUGUCUCUGUCAAAAGAGAAAAUACUAAGAUCGCACCCAUGAGAAGGGAUUCUUUAUGCACGGAUUUUUUUCCCUUGUAGAUUUUCAGUCUGAAACCCUAACCCAUGAAGAGGGAGAAGCUAAAAUAAUUAGAGGCAGCAAGCCAACUCGGGAGAGGUGAUUAGACUCUGGGUGUCUUGUCCAAUGAGCGUUAGUGGGGCUGUCCCCAAGGCCGCUUUGAGGAAAAGGCUCUGGGUGCAGUGCAAGAUGAACUGGGGAUUGAGGGAAGAGGAAUGUGCAGGAAUUAAGGGCUACAUUUUUACCAAAUCACAUUUCCACCUGACAUUUCUGCAAAGUUCUUCUAUAUAAAUGGCUUUGGAUUUUUUCAACAGAGGUUUGAGAUAACAAUACUCGAAAUGAAUAAUUUUUUUGUUUUUAGGCAUGUGGAUAGAAAUUAGCUCUUUCUUUCAGUCUGGCAUUGGUGAGCUCUGCUCCUGGCUAUGAAAUAGUUACCAGGCAGGACUGGGUUUUUGAGAGAGAGUCAUACGGGGCCUGGGGUGUGUUGAGAAAUAGCAGACUCCUGGGGGAUUGUUGGCUGAUGGAGGGUCACCUGGGAAGCCUGCUUCCAGCUCUCAGGGGAGGCUUCCACUGAUUUAUUACAAGGAACGGCUCGUGUGAUUAUGGAGGCUGAGAAGUUCCACAAUAUGUCAUCUGCAAGCCAGAGAACUGGGGAAGCUGGUGCUAUAAGUCCUAGUCUAAGGACAGGAGAAGAACAAUGUCCAGCUCAAGAAGUCAGGCAGAGAGAGCAAAUUCUUCCUUCCUCUGUUCUUGUUCUAGUCAGGCCCUCUGCAUAUUGGAGGAUACCCACCUUCACUGUGGAGGGCAAUCUUCUUUACUUGGAUUAUGAAUUCAAAUGUCAGUCUCGUCGGGAAACACCCUCACAGACACAUCCAGAAGUCAUGUUUAACCAAAUAUCUGGCACACUAUGAUCCAGUCAGUUGACCCCAAAUUAACAUCACACCGUAGUAGAGGGGUGCUCUGCUGAUGACAAGUCAACUUUGCUGGCCCGUUGUCCACAACUGCCCCUCCCCCUCUGACCCCAAUAGCAGUCUUAAGACUAUUUAGUUAUACAAAGACUCAAAAAAUGCACCAUGCCUUGCUUGUCACAUUUGCUUCCAGUCAGAAUUCCCAGUUCCCCCCAAAUUCCCAUUUAUAAUUUAGUUGAUCUAAAAAUAAACCAUUACGGCAAGAAUUAGUCAUACAUACUAGGGUGUGAAUGGUUAUCUUAAUUUUCUUGAUAAUAUUUGCUAUAUAUUAUGGUCAAGAGAAUGGACUCAAGAGGGGUCAGGCUGCCCAGAUUUGAAUCUUGGGUUUUGCACUUACUACUUGUGAGACAUUCGACAAGUUAUUUAUCUUCUCUCUGUCUCAAUUUCCUCAUCUGUGGACUUCUCCGAUGAUAUUUGCUUGGGAGAUACUUUCGAGAAAGGGUCUUUGUCAAUGACAUCUCACCCAUUCCUAUGCCUCGUGCCCAAAGCUGCCUUCCUAGAAGAAUGUGGGUAUUCUAUUAACCUUAAGCACAUUGAGUGUGUCUACCUUGCACCAGAUUAUGUUUCUUCUUCAUAUCUUACACCUAUCGUUUGACAUCCCUACUCUCUAAAUGGGAAAAUCUCAGCUCACAGAAGGCUAGUCCUUUGGGGAAUGUCAGAGCUGGUUUGCAGCAGCCCUGGGGUCCAAAUCCUGGCGCUAGAAUUCCAGAUCCAAUAUCCUACCCCUUGCGCCACCACCAGUCGUCCACAUGUAAGAGAUGGCUUAGUGCUGAGACACUGACAAGUGUUGUGAUGGCCCAGGACAGAGGGAGGAACCUGCACGCCGAUGGGUGCCACCUGGUUCCAUGUUUUGGGGUAGCUAGCUCUUCAGUCUUUACGAACCUCAGUUUCCUCAGAUUUGUCAGACAUGCUACUAAUCUCCUCUAAAAGUAUACAUUUUAAGAAAGCAGUACCAGCGGAAAGUUUGUACUAAAACUUUGUACUAGAAUCAGUGACUUGCCAUCUAAGUACCUGGGUUGUUAUAGACAUUCCCCCGCGAGCCUCUUGGAGAUUUUUCCCUUUCUUCUUCAGCAUCUUUUGGCAUCUUCCCUACGCCCACCCUGCACUGACAUUGUGAAGAGCUUUGAGACAUUUCGGAUGAGGCCUUUGUAUAUGAAAUUAAAUGUCAACCUGCUUGAGUUGCCUCCAAAUUUCCCCGGGAGACCUCUGCUGGCAUUUAAUUUCUGAUUAAUAUUAUCCUCUCUGAAACUUUUAAAGCCCAAUGUGCUUUUCUUAAAAGUGGCUUUUUUUUUUUUUCAUUUUAAAAGAUACCUGGGAAGUUCAUGCUCAAGAACUUACUAUACGACCUGGAUCCAUGCACUCUUGAAGAGCCCCAGGUGCUGCGUGCAAGCAUGCUGUGUCCAUUUCUGCACUUGGUCUGGUGCACUGAUGUCAGCCAAUCGAAUGUCUGGUAGUGCUCAUGACCCUCCCCUUUAUGUGCUAUUAGAGAACCAGUGUCAUUUGCUUGCUUGAAGCUCUGGAAAGCUGGAAGCAUUUCCUAAGGUUGAGGCGUGUGACCUCUAAUCAACAUGCGGGAGAAAGCGGCGUGUUCUAACACACGGUUUCUGGCUGACCAUCUGUUCAGAGAGGAGGGUGCCUGUGAUCUGCAGACUUCGCCUUUCAAAAGUUAGUUUCAGAGGGAAGAUCUAAGGAGAAUUAAUGGUAAAAAAAAAAAGGCGUGUAAGGGAUCAUAUUAAUCAGUUUGCAGUCACUCAAACUUCAAAAAAAUUUCCUUUGAAAACAACUAAUUUGCACAGCCUCUCGGCCUGUAACGAUUCUCUAUGAGUUAUCGGCACGGAUUUCACAUCAGAAGCUGUAUGCUGCAAAAUGGAAGACCUUUAAACCUCUGUUCAGUUGGCUCUCGCGCACAGAGACUAAUUUUCCUCUCCCUUUACCUCCAUCCUGCCUCUUUGAAGAAAUUGUUGCAAGGAGGGAUUUUCGGCAUGACCUGUUUCAGGGUCACUUUAUGAAGACAACUUUCCCCAAAGCCCUUCCCCAGCGCUGUUUCAGGAGCACUUCUUUCCCAGCCAGUGUGUUGUCAAGGUCACGUGCCUGACUCUUGUGCAGCUGCAACCAGUUCUCCCGGACUCGCCCGAGGUGGGAGCAAGUCUUUACAGGAACACAGAGCACAGGGCCAGGGAGGGGACAGCAGGGUACCGCCUGGCCUUGAGCCGGUGUGGCGGGGGCAUUGAAGGAGACAGCUCCCAAGACACGGUAACUGGCAUUCCGGUUCAUGCCCUUGGACCUACUGUCGGGACCGGGUGUGCAGAAGGGGUUUUAGAUACACAGACCAUUUGUUCUAAUUUAAUUCCUAUUUUAAACAUUUCGGUUGACCUAAAGGGACUCUUAAAAGUUUAUUUGGUGAAACUUGGCUUGCCCUAAACUGUAGAAGAAUCUUAACAGGAUCAUCAUUCCAUGGCCUCAAGAUGCUGACUCACUGAGAUUAUGACCAGAUUAAAAACAGCAAAAACAAAAACCAAGGAGGACUAAGUCUUUUGUGCCAUAUUUAAUCUUUGCAAAGCGGGGAAAAAUGCCUUCAAAUCAUGAUAUUCAAAAGCAUGGCCUGGUUGACACAGUUUGCAUCAGGGGAAAACAACAUGGGUUGUACGAGUCUGGGAUGUAUUAUGGUGAAGGCCUUUCCAAGCAAGGCCCCCCGGACUCCACGAGGGUCUGCACUGGUUCUGGGGUUCCGGGCUCCGGAAAUGAUGAAGAGCAGCUUCUGAUUUCACAACUGGAUCUUUGCUUCCCCUCCCUUCCCGUUCAUAUCCUAUAUCGCAAGUUUAUUUAUAAAAUACCUCACAGUGGAGUAAUUCAAAGAUUGGUGGAUCUCAAGUGGCUAAGCUGGAACUGGUUAUCAGAGGAAAAACACAUACAGAUGUUCACCUGCUGGACUCGCCCUGUUUCAUCCACCUGUUUGGUCUCAGGGGAGCUGCAAAGCCAUUUAUUUCAGCCGGUAGGGGACAGAUCCUAAAGAUACUGAAACUGUUUUCUAUUGAGGACAAACUCUGCACCGUGUUAUGGAUCCUCACCGUUUCUUCUUGAUAGUUGAGAAAACGAGGCCUGGAGUUGAGAAGUGAUUGUCAGGAGGUUACUCAGCUAGCUAAGAAUUUUAGCCAGAACAAAGAGCCCUAUCUUAUAUUCCUCCACUGACCCCUUCUUCCUCCCCUACCAACUUCCUUCUUGAGCUAUACUUGCUGAUGCUUCCAAAGUAGAAAUCUUUGCAACACCAUCUCUUCACUGCAUUUCCUCGUUGCUCAAGAUUUUUACAGAUUCAAGAUGUUCUUUGAAAAGAGAACUUUCCUGAAGUAAGCAAGAAUUCCAGUAAUGCCCCAAGGCAGACUUUUUUUUGUCUUCCUUUUUGGCUUCAGCUUACCCCUGACUCAUGUCUCUUGAUAACUGAGUUCUUCUAUACCAAGAACUUUAAUGAUUUUCGUCACUGGCUCUUCAACCGUUCUUUGGCCUGAUUUGUUCUGUUUUCUUGGGUGGUUGGCCAUGAAACUGGAACCUUGAGAAGGAGGAGGCAAGCUCUGCCGUUCACACUCUUCUCAGCCAGAGCUGAUGGUGGCCCACGGAUGUUGUAGCUUAAGAUGGUUUUCUUGGAUAGUACCUUAUGUAGAAUUUGUAGCAAUUUUAGAACUUCUGAGCAAACCAUUGAAAAUGAUUUCCUCCCUUUGUGGCUUUCAAGAGCUGGUCUCAGCAGUAAGGUGACAGACUCCAUUGACAACUCAGUAGCCUUUGGAAAGGAAUGCUCUGGAUGAUGACAGGUGCUUCCAAGGGUCUUCUGCACCUGACCUUAAAGGAAACAGUGGGAGGUGAGUGAUGGGAGAUGAAAAUAUAUGAUGUUUUUAUGCAUGCAGCUGGUGCUCGGAGUUUCUCUCACCAUAAACAUAGAGACUCCCCACGUGUGCCCAUGUAAGGUGACAUUCAGGAUAGGUAGUGAUGAGUGUGACAGAGGCACUGGGCACUCAGAGUGGACCGUUACAGGCGGUGCUCUUGGAGAGGGGGCCUGGAGCUCUCCAUACCCUUCCUCACCCAGGAAUUGUUUCUUUAGUCUGGGAAUCAUGGGGAGGUCCAGCAGGUUCUAAAGAGGGGCUGGAGCACCCAGGGGUGGGGGUGGUGGCUAUUUACUAAUGAAAAAGGAAACUUUUUAAUUUUAAGUUUAUUUAUUUAUUUUGAGAGAGAGAGAGAGAGAGAGAGAGAGAGAACAAGCGGGGGAGGGGCAGAGAGAGAGGGAGAGAGAGAAUCCUAAGCAGGCUCUGUACUGUCGGCACAGAUCCUGAUGCAGGGCUCGAACUCACCAACCAUGAGAUCAUGACCUGAGCCAAAAUCAAGAGUUAGAUUACCCACCUGGGCCCCCCUGAAACAGUGGUAUUUGACAAUCAAUUCCAUCAUACCCAGUGGAGUACCGGGAGCAGCUUACACCAACGGAUUGUUACCUUCUCGGGAAUUUUGUGAGCUGGUUUUUAAACAUAGCAAUUAUCACACAUUAAAUAAUGUAAACUUGUAUUUAAAACAAGCACAAGUGAUAAAUACCCCAAACUCUACGCUCGUUUAUUUAAUACCUUUUACUUUUAUCUGUGCUUGUGAGGUUAUUCACACCUCUUACGUCUGGAUUGUGGAAAUGCUGAGUAAUGGUUUACCACUGCAUUCUCUCCCAACUCUGUGCUAAGUGUUGCAUUUUCAUCCUGAAAUUGGCUGGCUAUAAACCAAGCUUUCCUCCCAGUCUGUUGACUGUCAAACUGGUUGUUUCUGGCUGGGUAUCUGCCCUACUCCUUCUCUGGAUUUCUGUUGUGUUGAGCCUUCAGUACUCACCAGGACUUACCAAGGGACCUGGCUGCCAAAGUCACUAAGAAGAUAGAAGCGAUGAACUAGAUCUUACACAGAGGGUGAGCCCUAAUCACUAAAUACGGGGGCUUUUUCUCCAGAGUCACCACCCCCACACAGUUGGUUACUCUGUCUUUCUAAAGCUGUCUCCUCCACUGACUUGCUGGCCACCAGAUUUCACCAAUUCUUCUAACUCUAUGUCAACUCUUUCUCCAUCCAUAAUCUUUGUCCUAAAAUGUGGUGUUCUUCAAGUUGCUGCUCUGGUCCCUCUUGCUGGGUCCCAGGUAGCUCUACUCGAGACUCAUGCAAAUGUCCCUGGUGGACCAAACUACUCAACAUCGCCAGCACCAAAUCUGUUAUAUCUCUCUUAUCCAAAAAUAUAGGCUUUGCUUUUGAUUUGUCUGUAGUUAUUAAUGAAAGACCAAUUUCCCCAGUCUCUCAGUUUCAAAACCCUUAGUCAUGUUUAAAUCUUUGUGACAUAGUUUUUGUAUUUUUGUCUUAUUUCUCUUCUAGAGUAUAGUCUUUCAGGUGGGGGGUCACUGUUGAUUGUUCCCAUUAUGCCUUCUACGUAAUGCCAGCCUUAAAAAAUACCGAGUAUAUUUUGUCAAAGUGUACAGUUCAUUUAGAAAGUGAUAAUAUUUUAUUUAAAUGUCCUAUAAUGUGGGGCAAACCAAUACCCCUUUAUUUCAAGGGAACAAGGUGGAGCCUAAAUCCUGAUGGCUGUGUGAACAGAAGCCACUGGAAGGUUACUUGAAAGGGGACAUCUUAUUUAUUUGCCUUUGGCUAAUGGGGAUGAGAAAAGCUGUUUGUGUGGUGUCUGUGCCAGAGAAGAUAGAGAAGCUGUUUCUCUGGCCGUGCAUUGUGACGUCUGUUUCCUCACAAAGGGAGUCUCGGCAGGAGAUGGGGAGAGGCUCUCUGCCUUCUGAGUGCCUCAGCCUGUAAAUGUGUUUGUUUUUUUUUUAACUUUUUUUUGGUGUUUAUUUUUGAGAGAGAUUGAGACAGAGUAUGAGUGGGGGAGGGGCACAGAGAGAGGGAGACACAGAAUCCAAAACAGGCUCCAGGCUCUGAGCUGCCAGCACAGAACCCAACACGGGGCACGAACUCAUGAACUGUGAGAUCAUGACCUGAGCCGAAGUCGGAUGUUUAACCGACUGAGCCACCCAGGCGCCCCAGCCUGUAAAUGUUUUAACCAGUGGUCCCUCCUAAGGCUCCUGCUCACAUCCCAGUUCCUGGGAGGCCAGGGGAGGGGUGGGGUGAGUCCUUUCCGCACAUUUCUUAGACUCCUCCAUAGCCUCAUACGUCCCCAGGGCUGAGUGCUUCCGAUGAGGUGCAGAGAAUCCACGUUAUGGUUUCAGAAUAAAUGGGAUUUUCCUUUUAUCAUUUCCCUUUUCCUUCUAACCUAUAUUUUAGGUAUCCGUGUUUAUACAAAUUCAAUUUUAACAUGCAGUGCUUUGAAGAUGAGGUUAUUUUGAUAUUCAUGAACUUGUGAGAUUAUUCAAAGAAAGAAGCAUAUAAAUGGUGGCUAUUUGAGUGAGUGAACAUGAAGGUACAUGUGAGGGUCAGAGGGAAAGAUAGAGGGAAACCAUGAGAUUUGAUUAAUAAGUGUAGAAAUGCAGGGGGAAAAAGCACUUUCUGAAAAGAGGAAAACAAACCCCAUCAUCAAGGUAUUUCAGUCAGGAUUCUUAUAGGAAUUGAGCAGACCACAAUGUGGUAGGAUUUGGAUAAACAAACACAUUUUCAAAAAAUGUUCAUGCAUGUGUUUACUGUAACCACACUAGACAUUUUAUCACAUGGUAGGAUAUUAACAAUUUCAAUAAUAUCCACCAUUUACCAGUUAGGCGUUGACCACAUAUUUGCCAGGAACUCUUUUCUAUAAUUCAUAUAUAAUAGAUACCAUUUCAACUCGGUCCUUCUGAGGACUUUGUAAAUUGUCAUCCUGACUCACAUUUGGGGUCCCGGAGACUGAGAAUGGGUAGGGCCAUUGAGACUUGGCCGCGUGAUGCAGUCGUGAGCAGAGAGCGGGGGCCCAUGUCCAGCUAGUGGGGACGCACCCCAGCUCACUCCCCGUUGUGGUGGGAGGUCUUCUGCAAACACUUUGCCUGAAUAUGUUAAGUGGGUUCUAAGAUGAAUAUGUGGAGAUUUGCUGGGGAAAGAACAAGCAAAUAUUUUCUAUUUGUAGUCUUAGAAACUUACAGUCUGAUUUUUUAAAAAAAGACAUUUUUCACGCAUUUCACAAAAUAAAUUGGAAGUUAUGAUUCCUAUUUAAAACAUCCCCGAGAAGUGUCAAUGACCAUUUUAAAAGAAGUGUUUGGGGUCUGGGCUUUUGUUUGGAGAAGAAGGCAUACAUUAAGCACCAGUGUAUGUAUAUAUUCAACACACUUACAUCGAAAGCUAUGUUUGUGAUCCUCAGAAGCUCCCUCUUCAAUCUUACAAGAAUAUGUAAUUUUCACCAAAUGUCUUCGAUGUAACACAACCCAUUUGUCAGUCUCAUGCCCUUGAAGAAGCUGUAGCUGAUUCCUGGUUAUCGACUGUCUCCUCUCUCUCUCUCUCUCUCUCUCUCUCUCUCUCUCUCUUGUCUGUCUGGGGGAAGAAGAAGCUGUAUAGACCCUUGCAUGGAUGGAGAGCCCCACAGACACCUGGGAGAGCCCAGAGCAGACCAGAGAGAGGCUGGCUCCCAGCAUUCCUGGCUCUACCGGGUGUUUCCUUUUAUUUAUUCAGCAUUGCUAAGUCGAUCAGCAUAAGGCUUGGUUCUUUAAUGACUCCAGGCAUUUCUCUGAGCACCACAAUAAUCAUUGGCCAAUUCACGUUUUUCAUUCCCACCCAAGCUUCUGCAGGCAGUGACAUGUCACUACCUCUGCCCACUGAGAGCUUUCCAUGGGGCGCGGCUGACCCCCCGCUGGGAUCCUGCCCAUAUCUCACUUGCCUCCCACACCUGGGGCAUACCAUCCAUGGCCACUGCUGCCUCCAGGGGGGACUUGGCAGAGCCUUCUUUGAGGGCAAAGGACAAAUACAAAUUAGAAAGAAGAGGCUUAAAUCUCCCAGUUGAAAAUAAGGGAAAAAACUUCUGUCCCCCUCCUUUUUGUUUUAGAUCAGUUACCUGAGAAAACGUGCUAUUGUAAAUUCUUUCCCCUCUCUAAAGUGUAUAUAAAUCCUUUCGCAGAGUAGAUGGGUCUCUGGUGAGCUUUAGGACCCAAGGGCCUUUCUCAAGGGCCAGGAAGCCACCUCUGAAACACAAUCAUCUGGGAAGAAGCACCCCCAUCUCCCAGUUCCCGUGGGGGGCUAGAAGUCUGACUCCUGUGGGAGCUUGCUCCAAGUUGCAAAGCAACCUCGUGUCCUAAAGAUAUGAGAAGUUUGUUUUUCCUCUGAAUAGAGCUAUGCAGCUCACACAGAUGGGCACCCCCAGGACCAGGGGACUCUAGGAUGAACUCUACAUUGACAAAUGGUGCCAUCAAGGCCUCUCCUGGAGGACUAGUUAUCGCUUCACCUUGAUAACGUGUAUGUGAUGUCUUGUAUCUGCUUGGCUAUGUUCGGGGUGAGAUUUCCUUCUGUCUUUCCAAUCUCUUAGCAGACUGACUGCGAUGCGUGCCACAUUCUGGUUUAGAGCUUACUCAGUAAUAAAAGUGUUUUCUUUCCUUUCUACCUUUGCGGAGAGGGCUUCUGGGUUGGGAGGAGAUUUUGCUUUUAUUUACGGUUCCCCCAACAAGGGAUAGGGGAGCAUCUGGGAGAGUCCUUGUCUUACUGGCAGAGAGAAGCCGGACUCCUGUGGAGUCUUAAAAGGGGUCUGUGGACACCUCUCUUCCCUGCCCGUAUCUGGUACAGGGUCAGUGCACCACGCUUCACCCUCCUGCCUUAUCACCCUGAGUCAUCGGGGGACAAAGUGCAAUCACCCUCCACUCACCCCCUGAACCUUCUUUCUGGGACCCUCUCUGAGACAGAUGGCCCGUGCCUACACCCCACAUUUCCUGGGGAGGAAUCCUCUCCCUAUGCUUUCUUCAGCUAUCUCCCCCAUUUUCCAGGCUCCAAGGGCCUGUGAGUGAAUGGCUAUCAAGUGAAUUGUCCCCCCUCAAAUUCCUACGUUGAAAUCCUAACCCCGAGGACCUGAUAAUGUGCCUGUUUGGAGAGAGGUCUUUAAAGUGGUAACUGAAGUAAAAUGAGGUCGUGCAGGGGAGGAAAAAAUCUUCCUUCUACCCUUCUUGGAUGUGCGGCCGGUCUAAGAACGAAGCUGACCUAAAAUUGAUAAGCAGGAGGAAAAAACCAAUCAGUUUAAUUACAUACGUAUGCAUGGGAAUUUCACCAAAAUAUGAGACUCAGUGAAGCGGGCAGCCAGAUGAUUGAGAUCUAUGCCACCCCGAGCUACAGAAAGGACAGAGGUUUGGAGUUUCAGUGGGGAGCGGGUGGGGUGGCGGGAGACAAAUUAUGGGAAAGGGAGGGAGAAGAUUACGGUAGAGUUUACUUUGUUAUGCAGAUGACAGUCUCUCAGGUAACAAAAUUAUCUCUGGGAGUAGUCCUCUUUCUGGAACUAUACUUUGACUAAUGGAACUUUCCUUUACAAAGGGGGGAUACGUAUUUUAAGCGGUUAGAGGGGAGGUUAAGAACUUUUUCUGUGUCUGCUGGUUUCCCAUCACUUUAACUCAAAGUGGCACCUUCUGAACCCCUUCAGCCCUAAUCCAACGUGACUGGUGUCCUUGUCAGGGGAGAAGGACACACACCAGGGGAAGGUCCCGUGAAGACACAGAAAGAACAUGAACCGUCUGUGAGCCCACAAGAGAGGCCUCACAAGAAGACAGAUGCCUUGCUUGAUGCUGGGCUUCCAGUCUUCUCCAGAAGUGUGGCAAAACAGCUGUGGCCUUGGAGGUUUGCUGUGACCACUAACAGGAGAAGAAAGACCCGGGUCUUGUUCCUGGACAGUGGGCUCCAUAUCGUGGUGCUAGAAGAGAAUGGAGUUCAGCCACACUGUGGCCUCACUUAGGAGCAGCAUGGGAGCUCAAUCAGCCACUUUGGAUGGAGUGGACGCGUUCCAGGUACUGGUAUGUUUGCAGACUUCUGGCCUGUGUCAGAUGGCUUGGCUGUUGCUCAGGGACCCAAAGGAAGAUGACAGGAUGCACGUAAAUUUAGGAAGAGGGCGUCAGUGGUCUCAUGGCAGUGGGAACAUACGUGAGCACCUUGUGGAAUGCUAAGUAAUGGCACCGGCCACAAAGGUGACUGCUCUGUGGGUGUCAGCCAGCCUCUGUCCUUAGCCCCAGUGCCUUAGGACGGGCCGUGAAGAGAGUUGGUUAAGGUGUUGGGCGUGAAGGCCAAGUACAAGCUGUCGGCAUGUCUCCCACACCAUGGCAGAUUUAGAUAACACCACCAUUGCUGCCCAACUUGUCAUCAGCGAAGUGACAUGGUGGCUUGUGUGGGGCCAGCCACUUGGGGGCAGGUGCUGCUCAGUGGACCAGCUUUGCCCCAGGUGGGAUAAUCACGCUUACCCUGCCAGGAGAAUGGAAGGGUGUCCCGGAGGUGGGGCAAAGUCCAGUUCUGUGGCAGAGCCUUUAGGAUUGCAGUUGGGUCAAGGGGGGGCUAUGGACAGUAGGCCCGUGGGAGCCACUGCUCCGACUGGAUCUCUUUGUCCAGCCUCCGCUACAAAGACCUGACAGGCGGUGGUGGUAGCAGACGUAGUGGCAGAAGUGACUCACUUUACUCAGCACCCUGUGUGCCUCCCAACCGUCCGUGGGAUCAAGUGCUCCUGUUAUGCCCAUUUACUGAGGAGGAUGUGGAGGCAGAGAGUCGUUAGGUAACUUGCCCAUGUUUAUUGACACACCUGGAGAGACUGGAUUGGAAUCCAGCAUCGGCCUCCCGGCCGGGACUCUCGACUGCCUUCUGGUGUUGGUUCGCUCUGUGAGGUGUGUGUGGUCCCCGAGCCCUGCUGGUGGAAUUCUACAGCUCCAGUUCUGGGCUCUGAGUUCUUGCUGUGGAUGCACCACACUCUGUCCAUGCACUGUUUGACUGUUCUAGAACCCAGAUUCGGCGAAACUUCUAGAUCGUGCGAAUCACUCCGUAGACCGGUUUCCAAUCUCUGUUAUUGGCAGGUGCAGGCUGGUGUUUGCUUCCAAGGGAACUUUCAAGUAAUGAACAGAUAUUUUUAGCCAUUGGAGAGAAAUCUUCCCGCAAGAAGAAGGACCUCAGAUACCCCCGAUGAUGUCAACACUCCACAUGGCUCCUCCUCCUCCGGCUCACUCCAGGGAAAAACCCUGUGCCUCCAGCUUGUCCCUGGAAGGGCUUGAACUACACAUCUGGCACCAUGACUGUUCCAGCUCUUGUCUGACUUCCAACCCGCCAAUCUCUGAAGCUGACAUGCAGGCAAUUGCUUCUCCCCAGGAUCUACUGUGAAUAAAGGGGCAAGUUUUGAAUGGCCCAGCUCUUCCUUCUGAUUCCCCCCAGCUGUUCACUGAGUUAGUUUUCCUGUUCCUACAAAGGAGCCUGGCACCGUCAGGUAUACGGCAUCCCCUGCCCCGACUGGGAGCCUGGGGCGAGUUCCCCAGAGCUGUGUGCAAAGCAGGUGUGUGAGGUGUGCAAGGGGUGUGUGUGUGUGAGACAGACUCAGACCCAUGCCUUCCUAACGAGGAACUGCCGUCCACAAGUGGGGCUGUGUCUUCUGUCUCGCCCUUCCCCACUGUCUUUGCCAGGCCACCCUCCCCCUCUAGUUCAGAGGCCUAAUUCUGGUGCUCAGAACCCUAGUUUUGAAUCCAAAGCUCCCUUUACUGUUCUUUGCAGCUUUCUACUAAAAGUGGCAUUCAUGGAAAUCUUUCCUCUAACCCAAGGGGACAUUGCAGACCAGACCCCUAUCAUGACAUUUGUCACUCUUCCAAUAGCUGCGAAGGUAAAGCAAUCUCAUUAUAUACAUUAUCUUGGAUACAGAAAAUGCUGAGAACCCUCACUGGAAUAGGUCUUGCCCAGAUCGGAACAGGGCUGUGAAUUUAUUGCAGACACAUUUCCAGUGGCUUCCCUGCCAUGUUUUACCUUCGCCAAGUUUUAUUCUUACAUUAGUUAGUCAGGAAAUGACUGUUUCCAAGAAACUCUGACAACAUCCUGAGAAAGAAUGACUGAGUCAGAGUUUUGCAUAAUCAGGAAUCCUGAGGAACGUGGAAGCCCAUGGACAGGAUGCAGCAAAAACACAAUUUGCUAAGUGGCUGUGCCUGAGUUUGAGGAAAGUACAACUUUCAAAACACUUCUCAUAAUUUGAAAAUAGGAUGGGAAAGAUAGGCUUUUGAUUCUGGACUACAAAUAGCUUUCUUUCAAGGAUCACUGUGGCUGGUGGUCAUCGGGACCUCUUCCCUUUGGUGGGGUCCCAACCCCAACUUAGGCACAUUUGACCACUAGUGUCCAAGGAACAACAGAUAAGUGCCAUUCUGGAUUAAUUUUUGAUGCAUCUGUCGAAAGUAAAAAAUUAACCUUGAAGCUACUUCCCAGUGUUGCCAAAUUUGCUGCUUUUAGGAGAUUUGAAAUAGCUGCUUGAACCAGGAGGGAUUCUUAGAAGUGCUUCAACCUUUAGGCAGAAUGCUUAGAGUGUUUAAUGACAACCUCUAGAAAAUUCUGAGGGCCAAAGCUGAUGGCAAAUGUGGCCUGAGCUGGUUUCUCAAACUCUUCCCUGACUACGUGGGUAGCCAUCUGGAACAAGUGUGGGAACACAGAAGAAAUCCUUGGCCUUAUAGAGCCCACCCUUAGCUUCCCUGCUCCAACAUGCCUCCCUGUACAGAUGGAGAUUAUUUCAUUAGAGCAAAAUGCCAGAAUAGUAACAUUCUUUUUCUUUCCCAUGUUCUGUGAUACGAUCUUUUAUCUCUUUGCUGAAUUAAACCUUCAGUUCUGAGUGUGUCUUUGGAAAGCCUGCUCUCCUAGAAGGCUCUCACAUGUUCAAAGGUAGGUAAGUAGGUGAGGAAGGAGGAGUUGUACAGGGUGAGAGCCCAGCUGAUGUGCAUAAUCUCCCACAGACCUAGGAGACUUCAGGCAUGUUAGAAAGUCUAAGGAAACCUUUUUGUUCUUUGGCCAGCAUCAAUCAAAUUAUAGUUGGAGUGAUUUUCCAGCAUCUUGCACAAACUGGGAGCUAAUUUUGAAGCAUUUCCAUCUUUUAAUUUCUUCUUGCCCACCUCCUGUCCCCAAAGGGUAAAACUGCUGGCAUGGUCAGAGACUAAGAGCAAGCUGAAGGCUAGGGCUGCAGAUAUGGGGCAGAGACCAAGCAAGGGAAGGGGAAGCUGCAGGAGAAAGCCAGUCAGGAGUGCACAGCCAACAGGGCUGCAGACUGUAGCCAUGGGGAGGGACAGAAAUCAAGUCCAAGUGGCAUCAGAGGAGAUUCGGCUUAGUGGGAGGCAGUGAGCAGUGUGGUGGCUGAGCCUGGCAGUAGGGUCAGAGCAACGCUUCUGGGGUAGAGGAAAAUCUUCCUGAAGUGUGGAAGUCCCUUGUUACAGUGGGUCCAGUCAGGGCAUUCCUUGAAUUAAGGGAAAAGAAUAAAUGGAACUCACAAGAUGAAGACGUGGGAAUGAGUCCGAAAAUCAGACUCCAGCCUACUGACUAGGGUUUCAGAGACACAUAAACAGACCAUGUGCAUGGAGGACAAAGGGGCCCCCAAGUGACUUCCAUGUACGACACAGUUCAGGGAUGCAGAGCCAUUGUUCUCAGCUGUGGUCAGGUCCAAAGUCUGCUGGCUGGUGGGUACAGGGCUUGUGCUGUCCCCUGAGAUGCUGUGGGGUUGGGGAGAGACUGUGCAGAGUUGAUGGUAAACAUGACCUGUAGAGGAGCUGGUGUGGACCCAGGAGCUGAGCUUCACACAUCCACUUCUUGCCUUCUAGAAACCUGCCCUAGUAACAGUAGCUGCGCACCCUUUGUGCCGCUCCUCUGCCCUAGGUGGACAGUGCUCAUUGGUCACAGCAGCACAGCAGAGUGGUUAAGGGCACGUGUUCUGGAGUUAGGCCUGUGUCUUCAACAGCUUCUCCUCUAACAAUACAUGGGUAAGUUACCUCAUAAAACGAAGAGUCCUCAUCUGCAAAUAUUACCCAUCUCAAAAGUUUUUAGGAAGAGUGAAUGAAGUAAUUGUAUAAAAUAUUUAGCACAGGACCUGGCCCAUUAUUUGCUCUUAAUAAACAGAAUCCCUGACAAUGAAAUAUUUAUGAAAUUAUGUGUGAAGUCAUUAAUAAUAAAAUCAUUACUAACAUUCUUCGUAUUUCCUACUGCUGAGUGAAGAAUUGGCUUUACCCAAAGGGAUGUCUGGCCUUUGUCCCUGGCUCCUGGGAGGUAGCCUCUAAAUCCGUGGAAUUAUCCCAGGGAUUGGCACCUCUUUGUGAUUUGUGGUGGGCUGCUUGACCAGAUCUGAUAGCUCAUGCUAAGAUGACUCAGGGUAAGGAGCUGGCCAAACCAGAAAGAUCAACCAUGUGAUGUGAGGGGUGGCACUUUGGACAGCCACAUGGGACAUGGUUCAAUCAGUCAUGCCUGUGUAAUGAAACCCCAACACAGACUAUGGACACCGAGCUCAGGGGCCCCGAGGUGUUAAUGCUCUGUCUGCAUAUUUCCGUAGAUAGACACAGAGAAGGUGUCCCAGAGGGCAUGGAACCUUCCUAUUCCCUGAUUCCACCCUAUGUGUCUUAGUCCAUUUGGGCUGCUGUGACAAAACUACCACAAACUGGGUGGCUCGUAACAACAUAAAUUCAUUUCUCACAGUUCUGGAGGCUGGGAAAUCCAAGAUCAUGACACUGGCAGAUAUGGUAUGUAGGGAGAGCUUCCGGACCAUGGAUGUUCCACAUGUCCUUACAUGGUGGAAAGGGUAAGGGAACUCUCUGGGGCCUCUUUAUAAGAGCACUAAUCCCAUUCAUGAGAGUGCCACCCUCAUGAUCUUAUCACCUCCCCAAAGCCCUCCUCCUAAUAUUGUCUCACUAGGGGUUGAGUGUUAUACGAAUUUGGGAGACACAGACAUUCAGUCUGUAGUAGUGUCUCUUCCUUUGGCAGGCACUGAUUGUUAUCCCUUUGCUAUAGAAAGCCCCUGUGAUUGUAGCAUGGUGUUUUUCCUGAGUUCUGUGAGUCAUUCUAGCAAAUUUUCAAAUCUGAGAGAGUCCAUGGGCAUCCGUGAAUUUGUAGCUAGGUUAUCUGAAGGGAGGGUGUCCAUGGACAUCUGAGUACCGGUGGCUGGUGUCAGAAGUCUUGGACAGACCUGGCAGCCUGGAGCACAAUGCUCUUAGCCUGGACUUUCAUUCCAGGUACGUGCUGGUCUCACAGCCUCAGAGUCCUGCUUAACACAAGGCUCUGGGAAGCCAUUACAUCAUUUGAAUUGCAUUUGAGAAUCUGUUUGCAGUCCUUGUCCUCUUCUAGCAUUCCUGUGCUUAAAGUCCUUCUAGAAAUGCCCACCUCCUAUUGAAUUACCCACUGCAAUUAUUCACAUAUUCUAAAACCACAUCAUCACACUUGUGUGCAGUUGCAAACUUCCAGUUCCUUCAUGUACUUUCUGGAAACCCCAUAUUCCUUGUACAAUCCUAUGAAGCAUAUACUACCUUGUACAGAUAGGGCGUGCAAUGACAUUGAAUUGACUGCAUAAUUAUUGACUCAACUUUUGUGAAGUGCAAGGCAUUGCUAAAUGGUCAUAUGGCCAAGCCAUAAACAUACAAGGGACAACAGUUCAUCCUAUGUCUCCGAGAACCGAGUUAUCUCACCCCUGCCCAGAGAGAACUUCUUUUGUUGUGUCACACUUGGCUCUCAAUUAAGCCCAUCCCUUUCUACAGAGUGAGUGCAGGGUAUCCUCCAUGGAAGAGAGGGGCACCUUUUAUUCAGAGCACCUCCUACAUUUACUUCCAGCCUCCCCAUACUCUCUUGGUAUGUGCUUCGUUCUAGAUGGUGGGCAGUGAAGUCUUUAAUUACUGGCAUGCAGCCUUCAAGCUCUCUCCUGUCAUGCAGUUGAGGGGUCCAUGUGCUAGAGGUGGUGUAGUUCCCAGAUGGUGAAGCCACUGGUGUCCUGUGUCCCUGAGUAUUUGUGGAGCAGUGAUCCCACCCACACUUUUUGGACAUGUAAUGUUAAUGAGAAAUUCAUCUUUGUUUUCCUCUUUAGUCUUGGUUUAUUUCUUUUGUUUCCACGGAGUGACCUAAUGUUAUCUUGAUCAAUGGACAGACUCACAGUUCAUGGUAGUGUGUCCAACCACACUGCAGCUACUAGCUGUGACUUGAAAGUAGAAGAAAACAGAGAUUAGCAUUUGUCCUGAGUGGUGGUAAAACCAAUAAGAAAGGAAAGAAGAGGCAAAAUUCAUAUAUUUUUGUUAUGCUUCUGUUCUUUCAUCUUUAAAUUGGAGAAAAAGCUGUUUAAAAUACUAGUUUUGCAAUAUAGACUUGGGAAGCUAGAUGUGGCAUAAAGCCAGGUUUCUCAAACCUUGAUAUUUGGGAUGGGUAAUUCUUUGUUAUAGAGGCUGUUGUUAUACACCGUCAGUGUUUAACAGCAUCCCUGGUCUUUACCCACCAGAUGACGAUAGCAUCACUCACUACCCCCUCCGAGUUGACAAUCACAGAUGUCUUCAGACAUUCCCAGUGGCCCCUGCUAUGCAAUGUCAUCCUCUGGUUGAGAACCACUGGCACAGAAGAAAGAAACUCUGGCUUAGAAUGGGAGGGCUUCUUAAGUUUAUUUCUGCCACUCACUAGCUCCCUGAUCCUGGGUAACCGAGGCCAUGGAGGCUCCAGUUUCCUCAUCUAUAAAACUGAAAUAAUAACCACUAUUCAGAGCAUUCAGAAAUUCAUGUACACAACACGUUCACUUUUUAAGCUGUAAGGCACUGUGCAUAUGGAAGUUAAACUCCUCAGGUUGCCAUUUAUUUUCUAUGUUGUGCACAAAAAAUGCUUUUAACAUAAGAAUGUGUACUUCAUGAUUUUCUUAUCCUCAUGAUUGAGGGAUGCUUCAUAGAUCAUCUUGGACUGUCAGGUUCGUGUGGGAUACCUUCCUGCUUGACUUUCAUCCCCUCCCUUUUGAUGCCUGUGCCUGUCUUCAUAUUUCUCCCACCUGCUGGAUCUUGUCUUUGGUACCCAGAAUACCUUGAAGGUUUUCUACCCUUCACUCAUCUGAACCUUUCUUGCUCAAUCCAAAGGAACAUGUUUCCCCUCCUGCAAAAGCAUCAAACCUCAUUCCCUUCAGGUUUGGCUCCCGGCCACUGAAAGUGCUAGAUAGUAAUGUGAUGAACAGGUUGAAAGCUAAGACGGCGAGGUUGAUUGGCUUCUACAUCUCUCGAGCAUCAUCUCUCCACAGUUCCAUUCCAUUUACCCUUACCAACGUUACAAUUGCUUUGUGUCCUUGUCAGUACUUGGCGUUACCAUUCUCUUCAGUUUCAGCAAUUCUGGUAGGUCUGUGUUGGUAUUUCAUUUUGGUUUUAAGAAGGCAUUCUCAGAGGUGUGUUCCCUGACCUAAAGAAAAGAGUAAUCCCUCGUUACAGGAUAUGUUGAGAGACUAUAGCAUCGUGGACUUUCAGGAGACAGGAGGACACAUUUUUUGUGAACUUGCUACGUGUUAAACACAACAUGAGACAUUCCACCCAAAUGAUUACAUUUACUGCUUCCAACUGUUCUAUACAUGAAGCUUCAGUUUUCCCCCUUUAUGGAUUAAAAAAAACAGACUUUGGAAAUAUUUAAUAAUUUACCCCAAAUCUCAUAUUUAUGAAGGGUUGGCUCACGGCAUAUCAUACAGAUGACUGCAGGUUCCUUCUCACAUUGGCACUGACAUGGGGAAUUGCCUGUUUCUAUCGCAGAGAGAGAAUAAAAUGCUGCAUGUGGAGAGAGGAGAAGUUCAGGGCAUUUCGAAGCCAUGUUGGGCUUUGUGUGGGAAAGGCAAGAAUUGGACCUGGCUGUCAAUGUGCUCGGGGCACUUCUGGGCACAUCUGUCCACGUUCCUUUGCAAAAAUGCACACUCUGACCAGGUAGGCAGUCAUGCUUUCUGGCUUGCUCUUUAAAUGCUUUAAUAUCCCUUACCUCCUGGUCCCCAAAGCCCCGAGAAGAGAUAUGGCAGAUCCUAUCUUCAUGUUUGGAUUGAGCAGCUGGUACUGGGAACAUUUUAGUGAUUGUUCAAGGUCACAGAGUAGACAGGGACAGAGCAAGAAUCAAGUUCAGGACCCUGUCUGUGUAAAAAAUGUCAUGAUGUAAUCCCACAUGACCUGUUUUCUCAAGGGUCCUCUGUGGCACGCUUAGGUCCGAUCGUCUCAUAGUUGUCCUAUUUUGUUGAUCUCACGUUGGCUUCAGGAGGAACACAGUGAGUGCAGCAGCACCCAUGGUAACAGUUCCUACAGCCAACAUUCUCUGACUGCUUCCUCUGUGAGGGACUUUGGCCACACACCUGCUCACGGUAGCCCCUCGGGUCUGUCUCCAGAUGAGAAGACAGAGCCAUGCAGAGGGUCAGACAUCUUGCCCAAGGACUGAGCUGGAAACCCAGGCAUGUGAGGCACAUGAAACACCACGUGCGUUACGCAGCCUUCUGUGAGUAUGAAAUGUGGUUUUACAGACGGGUCUUCAGGGAUCAUGAGCGUGGGGCUGGAUGGUGUGAUUUUAGACCCUGGGCUCAGGGAGACUCCGUGAUGAAGCCUUGCCUGCCAGCUUUCACGCGCUUUCCUUGUAACUUCUAACUGAACCAGAUAAAGCAGCCACAUUCUCUACUUCCUCUCCUCUCUACUCUUCCCACUUCCUUCUCCUCUACUUAGUUUUUGGAUGGAAAUGGCAUUAUGGUUCAUGCACCUUUCUGUAGUGCAGAUAAAUCAGCUGGCCCUACCCAGAAAGCACUGCUCCACCGUGAGCCCGACUAUUCCUUUUGUUACAAAUGAAACAUUUUGAACAUACUCUAGGUUAUUGAUGCCCAUGUACCCAGUGCUGAGAUUUUUAACACAUGUGAAUAUUCUGCAGUAUUUGCCCUACAACUUUUAAAUUAAGAAAUGAGAUGUUUCAGGUUAGGUUGAGAGUAUACCAUCCACCCCAGAUCAACUUCACAAAACAAAACUUCUGAUUUCCCACCAAAUAUGUUCAUGCCUCAGACUCCUCCCUGUCCGUAAAAGGUGUUCACAUUCCCCCACCUGCUUAGCAUGAAGGAUCUUUCCCUGACUCCCGCCUUUCCUUCAUGCCGCACCCCUGCAGUGCAUCAAGUGAUCCACGAUUUCUCCCAAAUACACAAUCUCCCUGUAUCAUCAUCUCCCUCCCAGGCUUUGGUGAUCAUCUCCCAGAUGGUCCCCCUGUUUCCCCCCAUCUUCUACAGUCAGUCUGUCACACCACAACCCAGUGAUUCCUAAAGAGCAAAUUAUAUCCAGUCACUGCCAGCUGUGGACUGAACAUUUGUGUCCCUAAGAUUCCUGUUAAAACCUAAUCCCCAGAGUGAGGUAGUAGGAGGCGGGGCCUUUGGGAAAGGCCUGGGCAGAGCCCAGGCACGAGGCCAGGCUCGAGGCCAGGCUUCGAGCCCAGGCUCGAAGGCACGAGGGCAGAGCCUUCACGAAUGGGAUUAGGGCCCUAAUGAGAGAACCCACAGAGCUCCCUAGCUCCUUCCCCCAGGUGAGGACACAUCGAGAAGACGGCCAUCUGGAAAGUGGGUUCUCACCAGACCCUGAAUCUGCUGGCACCUUGAUCUUGGACUUCCGGCCUCCAGAACUGUGAGAAAUAAAUGUCUGUUGUUUAUAAGA